ACUAAUAAAGGAUUAGAACGCAACUCACCGGUUAAGCCCGAAAAUCGGCUCAUGGCGACGGCGGCGCAACGGCGGCCAAGACUUAAGCUCACGGCGAGGCCGACAGGAGCUUGGACCGGCUGAAAUCAGCCAACAAAGCCUACGGUUCAAGACCGAAGGAGCUGGAUUUUCCUCGGUUGAACUUGCGGUGGACGCGGCAACGAAGCUUGGCUUCGUAGAGACAGCGAGCUGGAGAGAUGUGGUCAACAAGCAAAGCAAGUUGUCUUCGUGGCCACGUGAAGAGAAGACCCGGUGAUGCUUCGGUGGAAGGGAACGGCGAGAUGUGGGGGUUUCACGGUCAACUUUGCUGGAGAAAAACUCCUUUGGUUAACUGAAUUUGAGGUGGCUUCGGACGUGUGGUGCGGAGAAGAAACGGUGGGUGAAUGAUGGUGCAGGUGGCGGUGGGAUGAGGGAAAAACGUGGGGAUGCUUCGGUGAUGGGUGUCUUCGAAGGGAGAAGUGAACAGAAGGAGCUGAAGCCGUGAAAAGCGAGAGAGAGACCAAGGAGAAAGAGAGAAUCGGAUGAGGGAGAGAGGCGGUGGAUGAGCAUGCGAAGGAAGCUGCAGCUAAGGAAGAAAAAGUCAAAGAAAAUAUCUUGAUCCUUUAAUGCUUGGUCCCCCCCUUUGGUCUUCAUGCAUAUCACCAUGUCCCAUUAUUCUUUCUAACAAAUAUAAUCCAAAAAUUAACCCAAUUGAUGCUAAAAUCAGUCCCCAAAUCAUAGCUCCGAAUUUCAUUGAUUUUAGAAUUCAAUUUCAUCCUUAAAUUCUCAAUUUCGAAGUCCAAUUUUAUCGAAGAAAAAUUCCACACAUGUCCAUAAAUUCCCAUCACCCGGUAGCUCUACUUAGAAGUCGAAAUUCCCUUCAAACGAGCCCGUUCGAAUUUCCGUUCAAUUUCCGAAUCAAUUUUCCAUAAAAAUCUCGGAAUCUCCGAAAAAUUUUCGGAAAGUGAGUCGACGUUCUUAAAAUGAAUCGUGACACGGUAGAACUUUCAAUUUCGUGGUUAAUUUCAAUUCGACGUGAUUUUAGUGCGUCCCGAUCUACUGGGUAGCUUUUAGGAAUUUUUAAUGCAAUUGACUCAUGGUCGAUUAUUUUCAAGCCACAAUGUACAUCUUCAACACAUUGGCGAAUCUUGAUUGUUGUGAAAAUCUCGAGGUUUCAAAUACGACACAAGGUACAAAAAUGACAGAAAAAUCGGUCUAGUACCAUUCGACAGAAAUUUUGCAAUUAGGUGGAAUCACCCACGCACUAAUCACAUAUCUCUAUCGAAUCGACCUAUCUCCGGUCUCUUAUCCAUUUUGACGGUGCCGUAAUGACCCUUGCAAAUUAGCACGGUCGAGCAGUCGAUUCCUGGUCAAAUUCUCAUGUCUAUUGCGUUUAGAUUCCUUAACGGCUUCACCUGAUAGACUAGUUAACUCGUGAGUGGCCAACUCAGAGAAAAAGGCUAUAGACACGUCGAUGAAAAGCCCAACUCGUCUCAUUGAAAUCAAACUCGAAAAUCAGGAUGUCACAACUCUUCCCCUCUUAUAAAAAUUUCGUCCUCGAAAUUUAAACCUAUCACACAUCUUAAACAAAAAGGUGGGUGUACAGUCGUCUCAUCGAUUCUUCAGUUUUCCAAGUUGCUCCUUCAGUGCCGUGGUGUUGCCGGACCACUUUGACCAAUGGAAUGGUCUUGGUGCGCAGAACUUGCUCUUUGCGAUCUAUAAUCUGAACUGGGUUUUCAACGUACGAGACUCUAUCGUCCACAUCCAAUUCUUCAAAAUUGAGCACGUGGGUCGAGUCAGGCUCAUACUUCCUUAACAUCGACAUAUGAAAGAUGUCAUGCACUUGCGCUAGUCUCGGUGGUAAUGCAAGACGAUACGCUAGGAUCCCGAUUCUUUCAAGAAUUUCAAAUGGACCUACGUACCUCGGACUCAGCUUUCCUUUCUUGCCAAAGCGCGAAGUACCCCUCAUUGGUGACACCUUCAGAAAGACGUGAUCACCAACUUGGAAUUCCAACGGCCUUUGAUGCUUAUCGGCGUAGCUUUUCUAACGGCUCUGAGCGGUCUUUAAUCUAUCCCUGAUGACGGCAACUGCAUCCACUGACUGCUGAACCAACUCUGGGCCUGUGACUUUUCAUUCCCCGACUUCAUCCCAACAUACUGGCGUUCUACAUGCUCUGCCAUACAACGCUUCAAAAGGAGCCAUCUGAAUGCUCUGCUGGUAGCUGUUGUUGUAGGCGAACUCAAUAAGAUGAAGCUGUUCCUCCCAGCUUCCCUUGAAAUCCAACACGCAAGCUCGUAACAUGUCUUCGAGAGUUUGAAUUGUCCUCUCAGACUGGCCAUCCGUCUGAGGAUGAUAGGCCGUACUAUACUGCAACUUCGUUCCCAAAGCACUCUAUAAGCUUUUCCAAAAUGCAGCUGUAAACCUCAGGUCUCGAUCUGAUGUAAUCGUCAUUGGCACUCCAUGCAGACGAACUAUCUGUCGCACAUACAACUCUGCGUACCCGUCUAAAUCAAGGUCCUUUCAUACUACAAUAAAGUGAGCCGAUUUUGUCAGUCUAUCGACCACUGCCCAAAUAGAGUCAUUACCUCUCUGACUUCUUGGUAAGCUCGUCACGAAGUCUAUCGUGAUAUGUUCCCAUUUCCAUUCAGAAAUCUCGAGAGGUUGCAAAAAUCCUCCCGGCUUGCAAUGUUGAGCUUUGACCUGCUGACACGUCAAACACUUGGUGACAUGCUUGGCGAUGUCCGCCUUCAUACCAGACCACCAAUAAUGUUGAUGCGGAUUCUGAUACAUUUUUGUAUUGCCAGGAUGAAUGCUGUAACUGCUACGAUGAGCUUCUGAUAAGAUCUCUUCUUUAAGCUCUGUAUCGUCAGGUACACACAAUCGUCCUCGGAACCUUAGUGUUCCAUCAUCAGAAAUCUGAAAGUCAGGUUUUCUCUUAUCUGCAUUUUCUUGUAGGAUCUUCUGAAUUUCUGGAUCUGUUGACUGAAGUGUCUUGAUUCUAACUUGCACUUCUGGCUCAAUUCUGAGAGUGGCCAUACGAUUUGAAAGGUGGCCUACCUCAAAUUUGAAAACUGAAUCUCUAGCCUUCUCAAUCAAAGUCAAUUCCUUAAGUACCAUCUGUGCAACUGAAGAUUUCCGGCUCAGCGCAUCUGCAACUUUAUUCACCUUUCUAGGGUGAUACAAGAUAUCACAAUCAUAGUCCUUCAAGAGUUCCAUCCAGCGACGUUGUCUCAUAUUCAAUUCCUUUUGAGAGAAUAGAUACUUGAGACUUUGAUGGUCAGUGAAGAUCUGGAAUCUUUCUCCACACAAGUAAUGUCUCCAAAUCUUCAAAGCGAAAAUAAUUGCUGCGAGUUCUAAGUCAUGCGUCGGGUAGUUUAGUUCAUGAGGUCUCAAUUGACGGGACGCGUAUGCAACAACUCUGCUAUAUUGCAUCAACACGCAACCCAGUCCUCUAAACGACGCAUCACUGUAGAUCUCAUAUCCUCCAGGACCAGAUGGUAUAGUCAGCACAGGUGCGGUAGUCAGCUUUUCCUUAAGCUUUUGGAAACUACGCUCGCACUUGUCCGUCCAAACAAAUUUCUCUUCCUUCUUCAGUAGUCGAGUCAAAGGCGAAGCUAUAGCUGAAAACCCUUCCACAAACCGUCUGUAAUAUCCUGCUAAACCCAAAAAGCUUCUAAUCUCUGUCACUGUUGUCGGUCUUGGCCAGUUGAUCACUGCUUCUAUCUUGCUUGGGUCCACGGAGAUUCCUUCUCCCGAAAUCACGUGACCUAGGAAAGCAACACGAGUCAACCAAAACUCGCACUUGCUGAACUUGGCAUACAACUCAUGAGUCCUUAGAGUCUGCAGUACCAAUCUUAAAUGCCCUUCAUGCUCCUCUGGACUUCUAGAGUACACUAGGAUAUCGUCGAUGAACACGAUCACAAACUGAUCCAGGUAUUCUUUGAAAACUCGGUUCAUCAAAUCCAUGAAUGCAGCUAGAGUGUUUGUCAAUCCGAACGGCAUUACAGUGAAUUCAUAAUGGCCAUAUCGAGUACGAAACGCUGACUUCGGAAUAUUCUCCUUUCUAAUCCUCAACUGAUGAUAUCCCGUCCUUAGGUCGAUCUUAGAGAAUAUCGAUGCUCCUUGCAACUGAUCAAACAAGUCAUCAAUCCUCGGCAAUGGAUACUUGUUCUUAAUCGUCACCUGAUUAAGUUGUCAAUAAUCGAUGCAUAGGCGCAACAAACCAUCCUUCUUCUUCACGAACAGAAUUGGUGCUCCCUAAGGUGAUGCGCUGGGACGUAUGAAUCCUUUAUCCAACAAUUCUUGCAUCUGCACCUUCAGUUCUUUCAACUCUAACAAAGCCAUCCGGUAAGGAGCCUUAGAGAUCGGCUCUGUCCCGGGGGCUAACUCAAUCACAAACUCUAUUUCCCUUUCUGGCGGCAAACCUGGCAAUUCUUUCGGGAAUACAUUUGGAAACUCUUGAACCACUGCUAUAUCCUCAAUCUUUAGUUCCUCAACUGUCGUAUCCACGAUAGUUGCCAGGUAACCUUGGCAACCCCCGUCUAACAACCGGGUUGCCUCUAGCGACAAGAUUAAAGAAAUCGAGGGUCCUCCUCGACUCCCAAUAAACUCGAAGCUCUCACCCUAUAACGGGUUAAACUGAAUCGCCUUACGAUAACAGUCUAGCUUAGCUUGUUGCUUGGUGAGCCAGUCCAUGCCAAUAAUCAGGUCGAAGUCAUACAUGGUUAGGACUAUCAAGUCUAUCUUCCCCUCUCGCUCACCAAUCGCUAACGUGCAACCAGGACAACCCACUGUAAUUAAUACAUUAUCCUUUAACGGUGUCGAUAUACUAACCACCGACUCCAACAACUCAGGAAUCAAUCUUACCAACUUAACAUACGGCUCCGCUAUAAAUGAAUGAGUAGCUCCAUGGUCAAAUAAAGCAUAAGCAGCGUGGUCAUUCAACGAGACGGUACCUAUAAUCACAUUAGGCGAAUCAUCUGCCUGUCCUCUGGUGAUAGCAUAUGUCCUUCCUUGAGUUGGAGGUCAGUUAAAUCCACAUUGUUGUGCAUUCGGUGGCGGAAGACCUCAGUUCUGACCCAUCUGUGGCGGCGGCGGCAACUGUGGUCCCAUCUGUCUCCUGGGACAAUUCUUGGCCAUGUGACCCUACUGGCCACAUACAAAACAAGCACCCGUCCUAGUUGGACACGGGGCUGAUCCGUGUUGUCCUCCGCAGGAGCGACACACUCUAAAUUGACUCAACGACUUUCCUAUCCCACCUUUCCUAAUAGGUGGAACGGGAUAUCUUCCUCCAAUCAUCGGUCUCUUCCCAAACCGAUUUCUAUCUCGGUUCGAACUAAACCGCGACCUAGAUGUAGCGGCUUGUUCAUUCUGGUCUCUCUCGAUCAUCUGGACCCGUUCAUACAGGUCGUUGUAGUUCCUCAAGUUCAGUAGUAUCAGCGGACUCCUCAGCUUCGGCCUGAGUCCAUCUCUAAACAUUCUAGUUCGGUCUAUCGGAUUUUCAACCAACCUAGGGGCGUAUUGCGAUAGUUCAGCAAACUUCGCUUCAUACUGAUCAACUGUCAUCGAGCCUUGGCAAAGGUGCUGAAAUUCUGCCAUCUUCACUUCUCUGGCAGUCUCAGAAAAAUAUUUGUUGUUGAAGACCUCGAUGAAGGCGUUCCACUCCGGAACCACACCUUCAGGAAACAUUGUUCCUUUGGUGGCUCUCCACCAUGUGACUGUUAUCCCCUUCAGUUGGUAGACGGCAAGAGCGACCUUUUCUGCCUUGGUGCACAUCAGCAGUGCAAAGGCAUUUUCCAACUCCUGAACCCAGAGGGCUGUAGCCUCAGGAUCUCCCGCGCCAGUGAACUUUGGCGGGUUCAACUUUAAAAACCGUUCCACCAGAUUAUGCAUUGGCCUCACAGCGGCCAUGUUCCCAGGUGGAACUUCAGCAGGUAUAGCAGCAGGUGCUGCGGCGGCGGCAGCAGCAAUAGCAGCAUUGGCAGCGGCGGCGGCAGCAGCUGUGGCGGCGGCGGUAAUGGCGGCUACUUGAUUCUGGGCUUGUUGAUCCAUCUGAUUUCCCAUUGUCUCAAGCACAUGCAUGAUCCUGUCCACUCUUGGAUCACCAUGAGCUGCUACUCCAGCACCAAUUGGAGGUGGUGCAGCUCCACUCACGCUAGCCUGAGCCGACGCUUUACCUCGGCCACCCCGGGCACCGACUCUUGUCAGCGUCCUGGCCCGAGCAACUGAGGAUAAGGUCCUCUGCCUAGGAAUUCUCGGCUCCUGAUCACUCAUACUGUAGAUCUUCUACAACACCUAAUCCUAAUUCCAUAUAGAAUUAGAAACUAAGCGAUCUCACAAUCAAUUUACCAAACAACUGUCAAUCACAUGCAUCAGCAUGAAAAUAGAGGUCAUUCCUACUAACUAUCCCAAGAACCCAUCGCAUCUUAUCACUCCAAUAUUAACCCACUCUGAUACCACUUAAUGGGGAUGUCAAGCCCCGAUCCUCGAGCGCAUGCCCAUCCCUCUCUGGUCGAUAAAUAUUUUGCGACUUCCCAGAACGAGUUGCCGACCCUUUUAUUUUAUUGCACAUGCGGAAGCAAAUAACAAAUCCCCUGACAGUAACUAUCUCGGAAUAGAAAAGCAGGACAUCACAUUCACAAACAAACCACACUUUAUAAACAUACUGAGUCUUUUACACAAGUCUAUAACCAAAAAACUAGUUCUCAAAAAGAGGCUGUCCUAUCUGACCUACUCUUCAGGUCACCUCAGCUUAGCUCCAGGUCCUCCCUUUACGGUCCUGAAAAUUUUAAGCCCAUGACGGGGUGGGAUAUAAAUCUCAGCAAGUUCACGGUCUAAGCCCUGAUUAGGAGGGAAAUACACCCAUAAGUGUCCUAACCACACAACCACUCAAUUGGCACAGAGGACUUACCUCGCCUCAGUUUCCUCCCCUGCAUGUCAGUAGAGUUCAUAUCGCAAUGCAUAUAAUUAAUGCACAUAACAACUGGAACGCCUCAUCAAUUCAAUUAAUCACCGGGGUCCUGAUUAUAAGGCCAAACCGUUAUGACAUGUCUCAUUCCAUGUCACACAGUUUUGGUCUCAUAAUCGGGUGCAUCAAACUCAACAAUCAUGCGUUCCAAUUGUUAAUUACACCCCUCAAGAGUAUGGCCAACUCUAUUGGCGGUCUUCUGGCAUUGCCAGGCGUCGUCUCACCUCCUUUGAGCACGGCUACGUCUCUCAAUUAGACGGCUUCCCCGAAGGGGCAUAGGUCCAGAAUCUACUGCGACCCGAGUCCCAAUGAAUGGGUAACAUCCGGCUUAACAGCCUAGGACGGUUUCUCUUAACCAGCACACGACCAAUCAAUCUCGGCCCUAGACACUGUGCAUUGCACUCAAAUGUCUCAAUUAAAAUAGUGAACCUGGCAUAUUUUCUUCGUAUUAGAAAUACACGAUAAAAUAGUUGUGUGUGGGUACACGGUCAAUUCAUACUAGAAAAACUGAUAUCCUCCAAUUUAAAAUCUCACUGGUUUAUAUAGUACAUAAAAUCAUUUUUGGUGUUAAAACCCGACACCCGGGAUUUUCUGAAUAAAUAAUGAAUUUCACAAAUUUUGGAAUUAAAUACUCAAAAUUCCAAUCGGCACUCAAUUUGCACAAAUUAACAUCAAAUUGCAAAAAUUGAACACACCAUUGCAAUCAGCACGAAAUUCCGGUCACCGACUAUCCCGGCCUAAUUUCCGGAAAAUAAUUAAUAAUUAAAUAAAUUAUCGAGAAUUAAAUAAAGUACAAACUAAAUAAAUUUAAAGCAUUUAAUUGAAAUAACCUAAAUUAACUAAACUAAAUAAUCUAACUAACAAUUAAAUCUAACCAUCCUAUUUAAUUUAAUCUAAGUACACUAACUAAAUAAACUAACUAAUUCCUAACUAAUCCACCUAACUAAACUAAUUACACUAACUAAAUACUAACUAUAUACUUAAUCUAACUAAGCCAUCAUAAGCCUAAUCAACAUAAUUAAUCCACAAAUUAGCUAACUAACACACCUCUAAGUGUCAUUAGCCCACUAAUAAAGGAUUAGAACACAACUCACUGGUUAAGCCCGAAAAUCGGCUCACGGCGAUGGCGGCGCAACGACGGCCAAGACUUAAGCUCACGGCGAGGCCGACAGGAGCUUGGACCGGCUGAAAUCAGCCAACAAAGCCUACGGUUCAAGACCGAAGGAGCUGGAUUUUCCUCGGUUGAACUUGCGGUGGACGCGGCAACGAAGCUUGGCUUUGUGGAGACGGCGAGCUGGAGAGAUGCGGUCAACAAGCAAAGCAAGUUGUCUUCGUGGCCGCAUGAAGAGAAGAACCGGUGAUGCUUCGGUGGAAGGGAACGGGAGAUGUGGGGGUUUCACGGUCAACUUUGCUGGAUAAAAACUCCUUUGGUUAACUGAAUUUGAGGUGGCUUCGGACGUGUGGUGCAGAGAAGAAAAGUGGGUGAAUGAUGGUGCAGGUGGCGGUGGGAUGAGGGAAAAACGUGGGGAUGCUUCGGUGAUGGGUGUCUUCGAAGGGAGAAGUGAACAGAAGGAGCUGAAGCCGUGAAAAGCGAGAGAGAGACC
rnacentral:lncRNA from 1 species